GCACAGCCCAUGAGAGGGAGCAGCAGCGGUGGCUACCCUGAGGUAAAGCAGGCGCGUCGGCGUGGCACGAAGGUCCUGCCGCAGAGCCACCGACCCCGCAGGCGCCUCUCCUCCCUGCAGGCCUGUCACAGAUCUGUCAGCGAGUCAUCGCGGGCAGGGCCCGCGCUUCAGGCCACCGGCCCCAGCUGCGGCCUCUUCUCAUGCCAGGGCCACUCCCCGGGCCCCGGCGCUCCGCCCGCAGCCCCAAGGAGUGGAGGCCGCCGCGGAAUCGGCUCCUGGGGUGAAGGGCCCCGGGAGGACCCCCGUAGGGUCUCACCGGGCCGCGGCCGCGGAGGGGAAGGCGAGAUACUUAGCGAGGAUCGUGGCCUGAGCCGCCGUGUCGGGCAGCACCUCUGGCCGCAGCUGGCCCUCCCCCGCCCCAGCAGGUGUAUGGCCCGGCCGGCCGGCGUCCAGCGCUGGGUGAGCACAGCAGGCAGGAGGGCCCGGGAGAUGCCAGCGUAAGUCAUCUCGAUUAGCACGGCGUGCACCACCGCAGUGUCUUUUGAUCCAGGGUUGCGAGGAUUUCAAAGCCACCUUCCUUGUUCCCUAUUCAGGAAGGUGCUCCUUCCCACGGGGGUCCUCGCACCCGGCGGGAGGUGGGGGGACUGCUUCCGAGAAGCGAGCCACCUGGAGUUGGCGGCCGCGUGGAGCAGACCGCCUGCCGCCUCUGAUUCUCUGGCAGGAAAGCAGACACUAGGAAAUAGUGGGAAUUUGAAGGGUAGGUGACCAAUUCGAGGAAGUGGGACUUAAAGCAAUCUGAGAAGCAGUCGUUUUCUUUAUUGAAUCUGCCCUGUAGACAUAGAGUAGCUGUUUCCUAUUUCUCAGGUUCUACAGUCAGUCGAUUUUUGUUUCCCCAGUUGUAUGAGAUAAAUAUUGUACAAUCUCAGGUUACCUUCUUUGCGCGUGGUGACAACCUACAAAUGAGAAUUUGGGGGGUGAGGAGGUACACUUUGAACUUUUUCUAUUCAAAACAUGAGCAUGUGUGUUGUAGGGCCUUUGCUCCUACUUUUAAAGGAUUUAUCAAGUUGAAUUCUAAAGAACUUUGUCAGAGUUCCUCUUGAUGUUGUAGGAUAGUUUUUUUGUUUUUGCAAAAAAAAAAAAAACUAGAACUAAAUAACUAUUGUUAACAAUAACAAAAAGGUAGUCAUAUUCUAAGUAGCUUUAUUUAAAAAAAAAAAAAAAACAGCUCUUUUCCAC
rnacentral:lncRNA from 1 species